AUCCUUGUUAAUGUUUCCAAAGAGGACAGGCUUUGCUGUUCCCUGUGGUUACAGAGGAGCACAGGUUGGGGGCAUCUGUCGUCUUCCCCACGGACAUGGUGGGCCACCUGGCAUUCCCUGAGCCCUGCCUUAGCAAAAGCAAUGAAAAGUAAUCAUAAAAAGAUGGGGCAGCCCCUAGCAGUGCCUGGAGAGCUUACUUCAGUUGAGGUACAGCUUCCCCCAACUGUAUACCAGAGAGUAGUGGGCCUCAUGGCAACAUGAGAUGGAAGAGCGGUGCUGUAGGGAACCUUGCAUGCCAAGGCACUGUUCCUUUACUCUUUAGUACUAGGGGCAGAUAUAGAAGACCUAGGAAAUGAGAGGAACUGGGUACAUGAUGUAAAAGUCACAAAGAAUCAAUACAGAAUUAUGUUUAAAAAAAAAUAGAAUUCAAAGUAAAAGGCUUGGCAUGUGCUUGGUGGGUGGGGUGGAGGGAGUGGGAACAAAGAGGUCUAAGUUUCAGUAUCCUAAAACUGAUGCUCCCAUGAGUUGAGGAAGCUUACAUUGCACACUCUAAGGCUGACUUAGUGCCUGGUCACUGUAGGCAGAAUCAGUCAGACUUCCCACCUACCUGUGCCAGAAACUGAACUGAUGCUCUGAUCUUCAUCUGACUGACUCUUAAGCCACCUCAAGUCUGCAAAUUUGA
rnacentral:lncRNA from 1 species